rnacentral:rRNA from 1 species
ACACGACUACAUUAGAUACCCGGGUAGUCCUAGCCGUAAACGAUACUCGCUAGGUGUCGGCCACGGUGCGACCGUUGUCGGUGCCGUAGGGAAGCCGUGAAGCGAGCCACCUGGGAAGUACGGCCGCAAGGCUGAAACUUAAAGGAAUUGGCGGGGGAGCACCACAACGGGUGGAGCUUGCGGUUUAAUUGGAUUCAACGCCGGAAACUUACCGGGACCGACAGCAACAUGAAGGCCAGGCUGAAGACUUUGCCGGAUUAGCUG